rnacentral:rRNA from 1 species
UACGAAGGGGGCUAGCGUUGCUCGGAAUCACUGGGCGUAAAGGGUGCGUAGGCGGCCAUGUAAGUGAGGUGUGAAAUCCCUCGGCUCAACCGAGGAACUGCGCUUCAUACUGCAUGGCUUGAGGGAGACAGGGGUAAGCGGAACUGAUGGUGGAGCGGUGAAAUGCGCAGAUAUCAGGAAGAACACCGAUGGCGAAGGCAGCUCUCUGGGACGGUACUGACGCUGAGACGCGAAAGCGUGGGGAGCGAACAGG